rnacentral:rRNA from 1 species
ACAGCAGUCGCCACGGGAAUACAGAGGAUGCAAGCGUUAUCCGGAAUGAUUGGGUGUAAAGGGCUCGCAGGCGGUUUCUUAAGUCUGAUGUGAAAGCCCCCGGCUCAGCCGGGGAGGGUCAUUGGAAACUGGGAAACUUGAGUGCAGAAGAGGAGAGUGGAAUUCCACGUGUAGCGGUGAAAUGCGUAGAGAUGUGGAGGAACACCAGUGGCGAAGGCGACUCUCUGGUCUGUAACUGACGCUGAGGAGCGAAAGCGUGGGGAGCGAACAGGAUUAGAUACCCCAGUAGUCCCUGUCUCUUAUAC